UGGGGAAUUUUGGACAAUGGGCGAAAGCCUGAUCCAGCAAUGCCGCGUGUGUGAAGAAGGCCUUCGGGUUGUAAAGCACUUUUGUCCGGAAAGAAAUCCUUGGCUCUAAUACAGUCGGGGGAUGACGGUACCGGAAGAAUAAGCACCGGCUAACUACGUGCCAGCAGCCGCGGUAAUACGUAGGGUGCAAGCGUUAAUCGGAAUUACUGGGCGUAAAGCGUGCGCAGGCGGUUUGCUAAGACCGAUGUGAAAUCCCCGGGCUCAACCUGGGAACUGCAUUGGUGACUGGCAGGCUAAAGUAUGGCAGAGGGGGGUAGAAUUCCACGUGUAGCAGUGAAAUGCGUAGAGAUGUGGAGGAAUACCGAUGGCGAAGGCAGCCCCCUGGGCCAAUACUGACGCUCAUGCACGAAAGCGUGGGGAGCAAACAGGAUUAGAUACCCUGGUAGUCCACGCCCUAAACGAUGUCAACUAGUUGUUGGGGAUUCAUUUCCUUAGUAACGUAGCUAACGCGUGAAGUUGACCGCCUGGGGAGUACGG
rnacentral:rRNA from 1 species